rnacentral:rRNA from 1 species
GAAGGAGAAGUCGUAACAAGGUUUCCGUAGGUGAACCUGCGGAAGGAUC